GAUGAACGCUGGCGGCGUGCCUAAUACAUGCAAGUCGAGCGAACAGACGAGGAGCUUGCUCCUCUGACGUUAGCGGCGGACGGGUGAGUAACACGUGGAUAACCUACCUAUAAGACUGGGAUAACUUCGGGAAACCGGAGCUAAUACCGGAUAAGAUAUUGAACCGCAUGGUUCAAUAGUGAAAGACGGUUUUGCUGUCACUUAUAGAUGGAUCCGCGCCGCAUUAGCUAGUUGGGAAGGUAACGGCUUACCAAGGCAACGAUGCGUAGCCGACCUGAGAGGGUGAUCGGCCACACUGGAACUGAGCCACGGUCCAGACUCCUACGGGAGGCAGCAGUAGAGAAUCUUCCGCAAUGGGCGAGAGCCUAACGGAGCAACGCCGCGUGAGUGAUGAAGGUCUUCGGAUCGUAAAACUCUGUUAUUAGGGAAGAACAAAUGUGUAAGUAACUAUGUACGUCUUGACGGUACCUAAUCAGAAAGCCCCGGCUAACUACGUG
rnacentral:rRNA from 1 species